GGUUAAGCGACUAAGCGUACACGGUGGAUGCCCUGGCAGUCAGAGGCGAUGAAGGACGUGCUAAUCUGCGAUAAGCGUCGGUGAGGUGAUAUGAACCGUUAUAACCGGCGAUUUCGAAUGGGGAAACCCAGUGUGUUUCGACACACUAUCAUUAACUGAAUCCAUAGGUUAAUGAGGCGAACCGGGGAACUGAAACAUCUAAGUACCCCGAGGAAAGAAAUCAACCGAGAUUCCCCAGUAGCGGCGAGCGAACGGGGAGCAGCCCAGAGCCUGAAUCAGUGUGUGUGUUAGUGGAAGCGUCUGGAAAGGCGUGCGAUACAGGGUGACAGCCCCGUACACAAAAAUGCACAUACUGUGAGCUCGAUGAGUAGGGCGGGACACGUGGUAUCCUGUCUGAAUAUGGGGGACCAUCCUCCAAGGCUAAAUACUCCUGACUGACCGAUAGUGAACCAGUACCGUGAGGGAAAGGCGAAAAGAACCCCGGCGAGGGAGUGAAAAAGAACCUGAAACCGUGUACGUACAAGCAGUGGGAGCCUCUUAAUGGGGUGACUGCGUACCUUUGUAUAAUGGGUCAGCGACUUAUAUUCUGUAGCAAGGUUAACCGAAUAGGGGAGCCGAAGGGAAACCGAGUCUUAACUGGGCGUUAAGUUGCAGGGUAUAGACCCGAAACCCGGUGAUCUAGCCAUGGGCAGGUUGAAGGUUGGGUAACACUAACUGGAGGACCGAACCGACUAAUGUUGAAAAAUUAGCGGAUGACUUGUGGCUGGGGUGAAAGGCCAAUCAAACCGGGAGAUAGCUGGUUCUCCCCGAAAGCUAUUUAGGUAGCGCCUCGUGAAUUCAUCUCCGGGGUAGAGCACUGUUUCGGCAAGGGGUCAUCCCGACUUACCAACCCGAUGCAAACUGCGAAUACCGGAGAAUGUUAUCACGGGAGACACACGGCGGGUGCUAACGUCCGUCGUGAAGAGGGAAACAACCCAGACCGCCAGCUAAGGUCCCAAAGUCAUGGUUAAGUGGGAAACGAUGUGGGAAGGCCCAGACAGCCAGGAUGUUGGCUUAGAAGCAGCCAUCAUUUAAAGAAAGCGUAAUAGCUCACUGGUCGAGUCGGCCUGCGCGGAAGAUGUAACGGGGCUAAACCAUGCACCGAAGCUGCGGCAGCGACACUAUGUGUUGUUGGGUAGGGGAGCGUUCUGUAAGCCUGCGAAGGUGUACUGUGAGGUAUGCUGGAGGUAUCAGAAGUGCGAAUGCUGACAAAGUAACGAUAAAGCGGGUGAAAAGCCCGCUCGCCGGAAGACCAAGGGUUCCUGUCCAACGUUAAUCGGGGCAGGGUGAGUCGACCCCUAAGGCGAGGCCGAAAGGCGUAGUCGAUGGGAAACAGGUUAAUAUUCCUGUACUUGGUGUUACUGCGAAGGGGGACGGAGAAGGCUAUGUUGGCCGGGCGACGGUUGUCCCGGUUUAAGCGUGUAGGCUGGUUUUCCAGGCAAAUCCGGAAAAUCAAGGCUGAGGCGUGAUGACGAGGCACUACGGUGCUGAAGCAACAAAUGCCCUGCUUCCAGGAAAAGCCUCUAAGCAUCAGGUAACAUCAAAUCGUACCCCAAACCGACACAGGUGGUCAGGUAGAGAAUACCAAGGCGCUUGAGAGAACUCGGGUGAAGGAACUAGGCAAAAUGGUGCCGUAACUUCGGGAGAAGGCACGCUGAUAUGUAGGUGAAGUCCCUCGCGGAUGGAGCUGAAAUCAGUCGAAGAUACCAGCUGGCUGCAACUGUUUAUUAAAAACACAGCACUGUGCAAACACGAAAGUGGACGUAUACGGUGUGACGCCUGCCCGGUGCCGGAAGGUUAAUUGAUGGGGUUAGCGGUAACGCGAAGCUCUUGAUCGAAGCCCCGGUAAACGGCGGCCGUAACUAUAACGGUCCUAAGGUAGCGAAAUUCCUUGUCGGGUAAGUUCCGACCUGCACGAAUGGCGUAAUGAUGGCAGGCUGUCUCCACCCGAGACUCAGUGAAAUUGAACUCGCUGUGAAGAUGCAGUGUACCCGCGGCAAGACGGAAAGACCCCGUGAACCUUUACUAUAGCUUGACACUGAACAUUGAGCCUUGAUGUGUAGGAUAGGUGGGAGGCUUUGAAGUGUGGACGCCAGUCUGCAUGGAGCCGGCCUUGAAAUACCACCCUUUAAUGUUUGAUGUUCUAACGUUGGCCCCUGAUCGGGGUUGCGGACAGUGUCUGGUGGGUAGUUUGACUGGGGCGGUCUCCUCCUAAAGAGUAACGGAGGAGCACGAAGGUUGGCUAAUCCUGGUCGGACAUCAGGAGGUUAGUGCAAUGGCAUAAGCCAGCUUGACUGCGAGCGUGACGGCGCGAGCAGGUGCGAAAGCAGGUCAUAGUGAUCCGGUGGUUCUGAAUGGAAGGGCCAUCGCUCAACGGAUAAAAGGUACUCCGGGGAUAACAGGCUGAUACCGCCCAAGAGUUCAUAUCGACGGCGGUGUUUGGCACCUCGAUGUCGGCUCAUCACAUCCUGGGGCUGAAGUAGGUCCCAAGGGUAUGGCUGUUCGCCAUUUAAAGUGGUACGCGAGCUGGGUUUAGAACGUCGUGAGACAGUUCGGUCCCUAUCUGCCGUGGGCGCUGGAGAACUGAGGGGGCUGCUCCUAGUACGAGAGGACCGGAGUGGACGCAUCACUGGUGUUCGGGUUGUCAUGCCAAUGGCACUGCCCGGUAGCUAAAUGCGGAAGAGAUAAGUGCUGAAAGCAUCUAAGCACGAAACUUGCCCCGAGAUGAGUUCUCCCUGACUCUUUAAGGGUCCUGAAGGAACGUUGAAGACGACGACGUUGAUAGGCCGGGUGUGUAAGCGCAGCGAUGCGUUGAGCUAACCGGUACUAAUGAACCGUGAGGCUUAACCUU
rnacentral:rRNA from 1 species